rnacentral:RNase_MRP_RNA from 15 species
AAGCACGGCUUCGCAGCGCACAGACAGGGAGGGAACUCCCAAGAAUUGCUGUGAGGAAAGUCCCCGUGCCUUUGGGCAGAGAGUGCCAGCAGGAGAUUGCGAGAUGUCGGAAUGUUCAUUGUCAGCGACGUUUUUACGCGGAGGUGCAUUGGCAAGACGGCAUCUUUCACAGCAGCACAGCCAUGCCAUGAGUGUUCGAGCGAGGACGCCAACUGAACGGGGCUCAUUCUC